UUUUUUUUUUUUUUUUUCCUAAGAAAAAAGGAAAAAAAAAACAUAGAAAAGUACUUCUAAAUGUUAUCUUCAGGACAGGGGAGAAUUUAUCUCAUUUAUCUCAUGCAAAUUUUCCUAACAAUAAACUCAUGUUAAAAAUUGUCACCAAAUCCCAUUUUGUAAUUAUGUUCUAGGAAUUAGCUGGGAAGAAAGGCAAAUUGGUAUUCUCACCUCCUUAUCUCUGUUAUUUUAAUGUUUAUAUCUACUUCCAUUUUAAUUAAUUUUACUAAUCCAUUUAGUUAAUGAAUAAAUAAAUCAGCUCCAUGGGGACCAAACAUCAGUUGCAGCAACGGUAGAGAAUUGCUAAUUCAGAAGUGACCCACAGAACCAAAGUAAACUUGUCAACAUAGAUUUCUAUUUUGUUAAUAUUCUAAUUUCUGUCUUAUUGUUCUUCAUAGAGCAAAAUGAUUCACAGAGAAUCUCUAUAGCACUUUUUAUUUCUAAGCUCUCUAAGAGACUUUCAUUCUGCAAUUGCCAAGUUGCAGAAUUUUGAAUAUAAAUUGAUUUUAUGCAAUACGCUGAAAACAAGUAUUUUAUUAAUAUAAAUGGUUUCUUUAUUUGUGGAAUUACACAAAAAUUAUUUUGGAAGCAGCAUGAGUCCCAUCUGACGGUAUUAGAAUUUUAUGCCUAAAUCGAGUUGAACAUUAAUUUUAUGAGUUUUUGUUGUUGUUCUUUUAGGCUGUUGUGUAAAUGACUGUGGCCAUAAGUAUCUGGGGAUUAGAGAUAGAGG
rnacentral:lncRNA from 1 species